GGGGAAAAAGAAAAGCUUCAAGAUCCCCUCGAUCCAAGAGGACCCUUGAGGGGCUGGCAGUGGUCUAGAAUCCCACCUCAGUGUUGGAGAUCUAGGACUCCUCCUUGGGGCUAACGGUCUGGGAGUCCCCAUCGAUAAUGCCACCAUCGAGGCAUCGGUCCCCCCAAAAAGGUUUGCCAAUUAUACCCCCUGAAUGCCUCCAGAAUGCAGGUACUCAUGAAGAUUAGGAGACAGCUCCUCCGAACACAAAGGAUGAAGUGCCGACCCGAGACCCAUGCUUGAGAGAAGUUUUACCUCUACCAUUAUGACCAUGAUCAUGACAUCGAAGACUAUA
rnacentral:lncRNA from 1 species